CGUGUAGGCGGCCCGGUAAGUCUGCUGUGAAAACCCGGGGCUCAACCCCGGGCGUGCAGCGGAAACUGCCGGGCUAGAGGGCGGCAGAGGCGAGUGGAAUUCCCGGUGUAGCGGUGAAAUGCGCAGAUAUCGGGAGGAACACCAGUAGCGAAGGCGGCUCGCUGGGCCGUCCCUGACGCUGAGACGCGAAAGCUAGGGGAGCGAACA
rnacentral:rRNA from 1 species